UUACAUCUGAAUACAGAUGACAAACAAAAGUUACUAAUAAUAACCCAACCUUUACUCUCAAUUGCCAUCCAAAGAUUUCAUUAUCAGAGGUAUAAUUAUCAUCUAAGAUGAUGAUUGGAUGCUAACUCUCAAAAUUUAAAAGCUACGUUGUUAGCUACCAGCCAAGCUGUGGCCAAAGCAGUUGGUAGGGAGGGUGAAAAAGUAUAACUUGUAGGC
rnacentral:lncRNA from 1 species